UGUCCUAAGAUGAGCUCAAC
rnacentral:snRNA from 1 species